AGAGAGAGAGAAUAACAACUGGCUCAUUCUUUGGGGACCUAGGCCUAAGCUCUCAGACACCAAGGGUAAGGGGUGGGGAGCGCAAUUCUCUCCACAAAGCUGGGUUUACAGUUCUCUGCCUCCUACCCACUCUCUGAAACUCCUGCAAUGUGUGGCACUUGUUUCUCUAUUUUGUCCCCUACUAUUCAGCAAAAACAGGUUUGCCUCAAAAUAUGUUUCUGUAGAGUACAGCUUCAAACUUCCUGUGGGUCCCCCUUUGUAUUUCAUGGGCUUUGUUCACUUAACACUUAUUGAACAUCUACAAUGUACCAGGUGCCAUGCUAGGUCUGAGAGAUAUGGAAUACCCCCUCUAAUCGAGGAAACACAGGUAAACAGGAUGGGGCAGGGCAUGGUGGUUGAGGGGAAGAGGAGUAGCAGAACAGGCCUGA